GGCGGGGACUACAGCUCCCGGCAUGCCCCGCGCCAGCCCGCUGCGCCCGGCCAACAUAGCGGCCAGGGCGGGGGUCGGGCCGGGACAGCUCCCGCCUCGUCCCCCGGCCCGGCCGCCUCCUCCCGGCGCCGCGUUCGCCCAGCGGCCGGGGCCGAGCCGGGGUCCCGGCGCGGGGCGGCCUGGCUGCCCUGGCUGCCCGCACGCACGGCCGGGCCGCGGCCCACGGCGGGGCGGGAGUGGAGCCCGCCCGGGGCCGGGCCGCUGAGGGGAGCGCGGGCACGUACGAGCGAGAGGCCGGAGCGCCGGGAGCAGCCCCGGGGCCCGCGGGUCCCCGCCCCGCUCCGCGCUUCGGUUCGAGCGAAGAGACGGACACAAACCGGCCAUUUUAGCGGCCACCACUGGCACGAAAGAAACAGGAGGAGGAAGAAACGGGACUCUGACGUGCGCUCAGGUUACACACCAGCGUAAAGUUAUUUUUAAAUGAGGAGCGACUCGCGAAUGUCAGCCCGCUCUGCUGGGAAACGUUGAAAACCUCUCCGGUUUCAAAACACACGCGGGGGGAAGGAAAGAUCGCGGUGACGCGGAGCCGGACAAGCGAGCCCAGCGGCGCGCACGGACAGCGGCGGGCACACACCGCUCUGAAGAGCCCCGGGCGACCGAGCCGAACCGCGGCCCCGGGCGACCGAGCCGAACCGCGGCCCCGGGCGACCGAGCCGAACCGCGGCCGCGUCCCCGAGUGGAGCGAAGUCCCGUCAGCUAAACCCACGCACAGCCGUAAUUCGCAUCAAAGCCCGCGUCCCAGAGCUCUCCGACAGCCGGGAAUUCCCUGCCCUGCCUUUGCUGCGGCUUCGGGCACUCGGGUUUGGUUCUGCUGCCUCCUGACAUGACAACCUGGAGCGAAUCCACGAAAUUGUGAAUGUCUGGAUGAGUGUAAAACCUGCACGACUGGGACAAAAAGCACCGGCAGCCAGAGUACGAAGUUGAGCAUAAUUGAAUUAAAUAUAUAUGUAAUUCAGGA